GACCAGAAAUAAUGAAGUAGCACAGAGCUAGAGAGAGAAGUAAAAAGAGGGGGAGCGAGAGAGGGAAAGAGAUAGAGAGCUAGAAAGAUCAGCGGAGAAGUAAAGAAGAGAAGGGAGAGACUGAUGUUGCUAACAUAUUUUUGCCAAGUUUUUAACUCUUCUCUUUCAAAAAUCGUAAACUUGUAAUAGAAUCAAGACGACACUAAUUUUGCAAUCAUUACGUUAAAAAAGUAAUCAUGGCUGGGGCUGCAGAAGGUUCUCAAUUUGAUGCACGCCAAUUUGACGCAAAAAUGACUGAGAUACUUAAUACUGAGGGAGAAGAAUUUUUCACAUCAUAUGAUGAAGUUCAUGACAGUUUUGAUGCUAUGGGAUUGCACGAAAACCUUUUGAGGGGCAUCUAUGCUUACGGUUUUGAAAAGCCAUCCGCAAUUCAGCAGCGAGGGAUUGUUCCAUUCUGCAAGGGGCUAGAUGUUAUUCAACAGGCACAAUCUGGUACAGGGAAAACAGCAACUUUCUGCUCUGGAGUUCUGCAGCAGCUUGAUUAUGGUGUUAUUGAAUGUCAAGCAUUGGUUCUUGCUCCCACUCGUGAACUAGCACAACAAAUUGAAAAGGUUAUGCGAGCACUUGGUGACUAUCUCGGUGUAAGGGUUCAUACUUGUGUGGGUGGGACUGUUGUCCGCGAAGAUCAACGAAUUCUGUCAAGUGGAGUUCAUGUCGUGGUUGGUACUCCUGGCCGUGUAUUCGACAUGUUGCGUAGACAAUCACUUCGCUCAGAUUACAUCAAGAUGUUUGUUCUCGAUGAAGCAGAUGAAAUGCUCUCAAGAGGUUUCAAGGAUCAGAUUUAUGAUAUAUUUCAGUUGCUACCAUCGAAAGUUCAGGUUGGAGUUUUUUCCGCUACUAUGCCUCCCGAGGCUCUUGAAAUUACUAGAAAGUUCCUGAAUAAGCCUGUGAGGAUUCUCGUAAAAAGAGAUGAGCUUACUCUUGAGGGUAUUAAACAGUUUUAUGUGAAUGUUGACAAGGAGGAAUGGAAACUGGAAACACUAUGUGAUUUAUACGAGACUUUGGCCAUUACCCAGAGUGUGAUUUUCAUCAAUACCAGGCGCAAGGUUGAUUGGCUGACUGACCAAAUGCGCAGCCGUGAUCACACAGUGUCUGCCACUCAUGGUGACAUGGAUCAGAAUACGAGAGACAUAAUUAUGCGUGAGUUUCGCUCUGGUUCUUCCCGCGUGCUCAUUACAACUGAUCUCCUGGCACGUGGUAUAGAUGUCCAGCAAGUGUCCCUUGUGAUAAACUAUGACCUGCCGACUCAGCCAGAGAACUACCUUCAUCGGAUUGGACGCAGUGGCCGUUUUGGAAGGAAGGGUGUUGCGAUCAACUUUGUUACCAGGGAUGAUGACAGGAUGUUGGUCGACAUACAGAAGUUCUAUAAUGUGUUGGUCGAGGAGCUGCCAGCAAAUGUUGCCGAUCUUCUUUAGUGUGGAACUGAUGUGACAAGACUGAAAAAAACAAAAUAGCAUUGGUCCCCAAUAUCCUGCAUUUUCUCAUGGCUCGUAUGCAAAUCGUUUAUUUCCAGCUCUAGUAAUCUAUAAUCAGGUUAGUGUGGAAAAUUAUAUCUUGUUCAAGGAGAUUUGUUGUCCUUUUGAUUAAUACCAAGUGUUUUUGUCCUGUUUAUAAUUGAGUUGUUGAACAAUAAGCCCUUAACAAACUAAGCCACAAUUGAAUCCUCUGAAAUUUACAUAGAUGUAGGCAUUGAUUAUAUGUGUUAUGUUUGCAUUCCUUCGCUAGCUGUAUGUUUACUUGACAGGAAGACUUGCUUCGAAGGGUCAAAAGAUCAGUGAGAACUUCUAUUUCAGAAGCGAUUGCUCUGUAAGUUGUGAUUGCCUAAUUGGCAUGUACAGUUUUACUGUAAGUGUAAAUAAACUCUUCUAAGCCACAUUUUUACCAAAAUUUAUGUAUAAUCCCAGCCGCCUUCUACUUUUCUGAAUAGUUCUUGGGAAAUUUUGUCGAGAAAAUAGAUUUGAUACCAAAUAGCAGUGCUGCAAACAAAUGUAUCCGUAAGAGAAAUUGUAAUGAAUAGCUUAGUCUUAUUCAGUAUCUGAAUCUGCUUUUGAUCGUAGGGCGUUGGUUUUUACUAUAGGUUACUGCUGUACUUGGUAGAAAAAUUACGCUUCCUGCUUAUUUGUCUACUGUUCUAAGAUUAACUACUAAAUUGAUUGAGUUUUCUUACAACCUAUAUAUGUAGAAGAUAAGUCAUGGGAAGUAGAUUCAAUUUGUUUUAAGCACGUUGUUUUGAAUUCUUGGAUCAUAUAAGUAUUUCUAAGUUCUUUUCAGGUUUCUGCUGCUUGUGCGGUGUGACUCAUAUAAUGCGCUUCUUCAAGUGCUUUCUUUUUUACAUUUAUGUGGUAGCUUCCAACAUUUAAAAUAUUGUCUUCAGUUUCUUCUUUCUCUUACUGUUACAUCAAAGCUCCCGCUGAGAAGCGUGAUGCUUUAAAUUUUUAUUUGUUCCUGCUGUUGGCCUGCUGUAGAAGCUCGACAUGGACAGACCUUAAAGUUCUACAGUGGUUGAUUCAUUCUUUUCUUAUUUACUGUCGCCAAAAUAUUCAAUCCCAUUUCUUUGUUACAUCUGUGUGGCAUCUACAACAUUGCCAGAAUUUAGCAUAAUAUUGUUUGAUAUCUGAAAAAUAUCUGUAAUGUUGUUUUACUAUGGAUUCUGAUUGAGUAAGUGCAUGUUUUCUGUUGUCUGAGUGUAACUGUCUUCUUUACAGUGAAUGGGUUCGAGCCACUUAAACAGUUUGAGCUUUUCAUUCAUGAUCGAGACUGAAGUCAAGCUACAACUCCCUUUGAAGGAGAGUUCCAAGUCUGUUAACAGAGUGAUAGAGCCGGCAACUCAGUCUGAAAUUGAAUAUCUGAAGGAAUAGUUGAAAUAUUUGAUUAUUGUGGCAAAUGUAAGAGACUGGAGUUUCAAGAUAAAAGCACUUCCUAAGGAGAACCAGCACACAUGCAAAUCACCUGGGCUAAUGUUAAGGGAAUCAGCUCUUUAGAGCAUGUGGGUCCUUUUUAAUGUUACAUAAGCAUCAUCCAGUGGAUUUUAAAAAGACCCCGGUCACACUGCUUCAAUGCACGAGCCCAUUUCCACUUACAGAUGAGUACAUCAAAUCUUAUCUUUCUUUAUAUAAUAUUGUUUUAAUUUAUAAUAUAAUUCUCAAGCAUUUGGAACUUGAGAAUUUGGAUUUGAAGAAUAAGAAUGUAAAAGUAGAUGCACAUUUAUAAAGAUUGUACAAAUGAAUGCAUAAGGACCAAAAAUAAGCACAGGUAGCAGGAGUUUACCGGGCUAUGCCCGGUUUUUGCUUUUACUCCUGUGGGUUGGGAUGCUCUUAGGCUCAACGUCCUUGCAGAAAAAUCAUCAGGAGGAUUCUGUAAAAUGAUUUCUCAAUAGUUUCUUGACCUUGUGGUGACAGCUGAGAAGAGAAGGCACUCCAAGUAAUGUCCGAAACUAUUGGUUCAAAUCUACAUUUCUCUUCACUUGUAUAUUUUCUCAAAAAAAGAACUUGUAUUAUGAAAUUGAUGACCAAUUUGUGUAAAUGAAAAAAAGAUCCAUUAUUAGUUA